AGAAUGAACGUUGGCGGCGUGGAUUAGGCAUGCAAGUCGCGCGCGAAACGUAGCAAUACGUGGAGAGCGGCGUAAGGGAGAGUAAUGCAUGGUUAGCUACCCCCGGGACUGGGAUAGCGGCGGGAAACUGCCGGUAAUACCAGAUGACAUCUUCGGAUCAAAGGUGUGAAUCCGCCCGGGAGCGACCAUGUCCUAUCAGCUUGUGGCGGGUAACGCCACAAGGCAAAGACGGGUAUGGGCGUGAGAGCGUGCCCCCACUCACUGGGACUGAGACACUGCCCAGACACCUACGGGUGGCUGCAGUCGAGAAUCUUACGGCAAUGGGCGCAAGCCUGACCGAGCGACGCCGCGUGCGGAUGAAGGCCUUGGUGUAACCGCUGUACGUAGGGAGGAAGGCUCCGUGAAGAACGGAGUUUGACCGUA
rnacentral:rRNA from 1 species